rnacentral:rRNA from 1 species
AGUGAACGCUGGCGGUAGGCCUAACACAUGCAAGUCGAACGGCAGCACAGUAAGAGCUUGCUCUUACGGGUGGCGAGUGGCGGACGGGUGAGGAAUACAUCGGAAUCUACUUUUUCGUGGGGGAUAACGUAGGGAACCUUACGCUAAUACCGCAUACGACCUACGGUUGAAAGCAGGGGAUCUUCGGACCUUGCGCGAUUGAAUGAGCCGAUGUCGGAUUAGCUAGUUGGCGGGGUAAAGGCCCACCAAGGCGACGAUCCGUAGCUGGUCUGAGAGGAUGAUCAGCCACACUGGAACUGAGACACGGUCCAGACUCCUACGGGAGGCAGCAGUGGGGAAUAUUGGACAAAGGGCGCAAGCCUGAUCCAGCCAUACCGCGUGGGUGAAGAAGGCCUUCGGGUUGUAAAGCCCUUUUGUUGGGAAAGAAAAGCAGCAGGUUAAUACCCCGCUGUUCUGACGGUACCCAAAGAAUAAGCACCGGCUAACUUCGUG